UUCCGGUUGAUCCUGCCAGAGGCUACUGCUAUCGGGGUCCGACUAAGCCAUGCGAGUUGAGAGGGGUAAGCCCUCGGCAUAUUGCUCAGUAACACGCGGGUAACCUGCCCUUGGGUUUGGGAUAACCCCGGGAAACUGGGACUAAUACCGGAUAGAUCAAAGAAACUGGAAUGUUCUCUGAUCGAAAGCUCCGGCGCCCAAGGAUGGGUCUGCGGCCUAUCAGGUAGUAGUGGGUGUAACGUACCUACUAGCCUACGACGGGUAAGGGUUGUGAGAGCAAGAGCCCUGAGAUGGAUUCUGAGACAUGAAUCCAGGCCCUACGGGGUGCAGCAGGCGCGAAAACUUUACACUGCGGGAAACCGCGAUAAGGGGACCCCGAGUGCCAGCACCUAGUGCUGGCUGUCCAGCUGUUCAAAUAACAGUUGUUAGCAAGGGCCGGGCAAGACCGGUGCCAGCCGCCGCGGUAACACCGGCGGCCCGAGUGGUAGCCGUUAUUAUUGGGUUUAAAGGGUCCGUAGCCGGCCUAUUAAGUCUCUUGGGAAAUCUGGCGACUCAAUCGUCAGGCGUUCAAGAGAUACUGGUAGGCUUGGGACCGGGAGAGGUGGGAGGUACUCCAGGGGUAGGGGUGAAAUCUCGUAAUCCUUGGGGGACCACCGAUGGCGAAGGCAUCCCACCAGAACGGGUCCGACGGUGAGGGACGAAAGCUGGGGGCACGAACCGGAUUAGAUACCCGGGUAGUCCCAGCCGUAAACGAUGCUCGCUAGGUGUCAGGUGCGGUGCGACCGCAUCUGGUGCCGCAGUGAAAACUUGAAGCGAGUCACCUGGGAAGUACGGUCGCAAGGCUGAAACUUAAAGGAAUUGGCGGGGGAGCACUACAACGGGUGGAGCCUGCGGUUCAAUUGGAGUCAACGCCGGG
rnacentral:rRNA from 1 species